ensembl:lncRNA
AUUAUGCCUUCCAGCUUCUUUUAGCAUGACUUCUACUAACUUUUAAAAAGUGUGGUUUACCACACUCAGAGCAUUCAGGUCUGGGGGAUCUAAAAUGAACACACACUGACUUCAUGCAUGCUCACACAGACAUCCCACUUUAUUCGUGCAGAGCAGAAGUAUUUAUACACAUUGAUAACAGCAGUGCGUGCACAGUUUCUACUGGUGCAGGGGCCAGACAGAUAGACAAAAACACGCACAAUGAAAAUAAGUCUUUUCAAGAAACAGAAAAUACAUGGCAGUUGAUGAGCUCAUUUAAAGAGGUGAUUAAAUGUAUACAUUCAUUUACAUAAGAUUCCAAAAGGGAGAACUGUGGGUCCAGACGGAGAUGCUGCGUCAGCGUCAGCACUACAGGACAUGAAACAGGUCAAACUGGAAGAGCUCGUUCAAUACGUGCGAAGUGUUCCGUCUAAGAGGAAAACACCAAGCUCCAAACUCCAGACACGGAGCAAAUUGAGAGAAUUCAGAAACUUCAGAGCGACAUGAUAGCAAACAUUAAACUUAUUACACCCAACUACCGUCCAGCCAAAGAUCUUCAGAGACAAGUACAGCGGUCUAAAAGAGGUGAGCAUGUCUUCAACAACACAAUUCUUACAUUUCAUUCUAAGUUAUUGUUAAAAAACCUGCCAGAUGCACUCACACUGUCUAUUAAUGAUCUGUCUGAGUACAGGAGGCUCAUGGAGGUUACUUCAAGAUUGUGGAUCAAUUCGCCAAAGCAAAGUGGAUCGAUAAUGUGAUAAAGAAAGGUCGCUUUCAGGUGUUUUUUCUAAUACUUUGUAUUCCACUACUGUUAUUUCAUUCAUAAAUAAGUAAAAAAAAAUUAAAACAAAAAAACCCCCACCACGCUCAUUUUCUGAAUCGCAACGCGCAUGCGCCAUCACUUCAAUCUCACUCUGCCCCGAAUGCGCCAUCACUUCAAUCUCACUCUGCGUUAUCCUUUAAUGCUCCAUUAUCCACGCUCUUUAAUCAGUCACCAAAUAACUCCUAUAAGAAGUAUUUAUCAUAAGGGGAAAUAUUGGGGUGAUAUCAGGGUCAACUGAACUUGAUGGAACACUGUUCCUGAAAAUAAUCUGUGGAGCUGAAACUUAAAACGCUGAAACUAUGAGCUACCUAAAUACGUCCUUAUGUAUUCUUAUAUUUGUACUGAGAUGCCAGCCACAAAACAUGCUAUUAUUUAAAGUGGUUUGUUCGGAGACUCUCCAGUUCGAUUUCUGUGUUUCAGUCAGCACCUUAAGCAUUUGAAACAAUGUUCUGUUCAUCCGCUCCACUUGGAGAGCGGAGUCAUUGAAGAUGAGGUUUUCCCUGACUUUGACGUGGUGGCAUAUGCUUGAACAAAACGGGUGAAAUGGUCAACAAUGACGAGGAUGUACCCGUUUCCACCUUUGAUGCGAUGAUCGAUGCCACUGAACAGAUCUGCAGUUUUGUCUUUCAGUAGUAAUAACUCUGACAUCCCGUUGUCUUCUAGCUCUGCCACUUCCUCUCUUUCAAGGUGCUUCAGAAUGUGAGUCACCUAUGAGAUGCGUGAUUUUCCUUUAUCAUCUGCUCUUUGUACGUCUGAUAUGUUCAAAAAGUCACAGAUUCCCAGUAAACUGUCUCUACUCACGGUGUGCAACACUCCUACCUCUUCCUGUAGCUCUUCCAGCACUGACAUGUUGACAGUGCAGGCCUUUAACUGUGUAGGAGUUGAUUCUGAACUGGUGGGUCUCUACUGUCCUCCAUGAUCUCUAACUGGCCUCAGGAACCGUGUACUCCACCACCAACUUCCAGCUCUCCUUAAACAGCAACACGUGCCCCCCUGCAGCCUGCCCGGUGUAUUAGGGGGAUUUAGCUGGUGCAGAAUUCAAUGUACAGGCUGUGGACACUGGACAUCUGAGCAGCAAUCCCAGCGGUGCCUCCAAAAUGUUGUCCCCGUCUAUAUAGAGGAGAAAUGAGUCACAAGCAUGACGGUCCGUGUUACUUCCACCAGAGCUUUACUCGAAUGGAAAAUUACCGCUUUUCCUCCAGGUAUGUGGGCUGAGACUAAAGUAAUCGAUCCCAGAGUGCGGAGAUCAGACCAUCCUAAUGGAUGACUGAUCAGCGUUAUACUCGCUUGGAUCAUCGAUGCACUAACACAUAAAAAUGGAAUGACAGCGAAAAAAACACUCUUUUCACUCUCUUUUUUUCAUUUAACUAUCUAACUUGUUACACUCACACACACACGACCAUUGUCCACACACACA